rnacentral:rRNA from 1 species
GAUGAACGCUGGCGGCAUGCCUAAUACAUGCAAGUCGAACGGACUAAAGAGAAAAGCUUGCUUUUUUUGGAAGUCAGUGGCGAACGGGUGAGUAACACGUAGGUAACCUGCCUCAUACAGGGGGAUAACAGUUAGAAAUGACUGCUAAUACCGCAUAAGCGCACAGCAUCGCAUGAUGCAGUGUGAAAAACUCCGGUGGUAUGAGAUGGACCCGCGUCUGAUUAGCUAGUUGGUGAGGUAAAGGCCCACCAAGGCGACGAUCAGUAGCCGACCUGAGAGGGUGAUCGGCCACACUGGGACUGAGACACGGCCCAG